GGGGAAUCUUCCGCAAUGGACGAAAGUCUGACGGAGCAACGCCGCGUGAGUGAUGACGGCCUUCGGGUUGUAAAGCUCUGUUAAUCGGGACGAAUGGUUCUUGUGCGAAUAGUGCGAGGAUUUGACGGUACCGGAAUAGAAAGCCACGGCUAACUACGUGCCAGCAGCCGCGGUAAUACGUAGGUGGCAAGCGUUGUCCGGAAUUAUUGGGCGUAAAGCGCGCGCAGGCGGAUUGGUCAGUCUGUCUUAAAAGUUCGGGGCUUAACUCCGUGAUGGGAUGGAAACUGCCAAUCUAGAGUAUCGGAGAGGAAAGUGGAAUUCCUAGUGUAGCGGUGAAAUGCGUAGAUAUUAGGAAGAACACCAGUGGCGAAGGCGACUUUCUGGACGAAAACUGACGCUGAGGCGCGAAAGCCAGGGGAGCGAACGGGAUUAGAUACCCCGGUAGUCCUGGCCGUAAACGAUGGGUACUAGGUGUAGGAGGUAUCGACCCCUUCUGUGCCGGAGUUAACGCAAUAAGUACCCCGCCUGGGGAGUACGACCGCAAGGUUG
rnacentral:rRNA from 1 species